AUUGAACGCUGGCGGCGUGCCUAACACAUGCAAGUCGAGCGGAUGAAGGGAGCUUGCUCCCUGAUUCAGCGGCGCACGGGUGAGUAACACGUGGAUGAUCUACCCAUCAGUUCGGGAUAACAGUUGGAAACGACUGCUAAUACUGGAUACGAUCUUUUUUCGCGAUUAGGUGAAAGGGGGCCUCUGCAUAUGCUUCCGCUGAUGGAUGAGUCCGCGCCUCAUUAGGUAGUUGGUAGGGUAACGGCCUACUAAGCCGACGAUGAGUAGCCGGCCUGAGAGGGUAAGCGGCCACACUGGGACUGGAACACGGCCCAGACUCCUACGGGAGGCAGCAGUGGGGAAUAUUGCGCAAUGGGCGAAAGCCUGACGCAGCGACGCCGCGUGAGGGAUGAAGGCCUUCGGGUCGUAAACCUCUGUCAGGAGGGAAGAACGGGCUAUGUGCUAAUCAGCAUAGUUUUGACGGUACCUCCAAAGGAAGCACCGGCUAACUCCGUGCCAGCAGCCGCAGUAA
rnacentral:rRNA from 1 species